rnacentral:rRNA from 1 species
ACGGGUGAGUAAUAUAUCGGAACGUGCCCAAUCGUGGGGGAUAACGUAGAGAAAUUUACGCUAAUACCGCAUACGAUCCAAGGAUGAAAGCGGGGGAUCGCAAGACCUCGCGCGAUUGGAGCGGCUGAUAUCAGAUUAGGUUGUUGGUGAGGUAAAAGCUCACCAAGCCGACGAUCUGUAGCUGGUUUGAGAGAACGACCAGCCACACUGGGACUGAGACACGGCCCAGACUCCUACGGGAGGCAGCAGUGGGGAAUUUUGGACAAUGGGCGAAAGCCUGAUCCAGCAAUGCCGCGUGCAGGAAGAAGGCCUUCGGGUUGUAAACUGCUUUUGUACGGAACGAAAAAGCUCUUUCUAAUAAAGAGGGCUCAUGACGGUACCGUAAGAAUAAGCACCGGCUAACUACGUGCCAGCAGCCGCGGUAAUACGUAGGGUGCGAGCGUUAAUCGGAAUUACUGGGCGUAAAGCGUGCGCAGGCGGUUAUAUAAGACAGUUGUGAAAUCCCCGGGCUCAACCUGGGAAUUGCAUCUGUGACUGUAUAGCUAGAGUACGGUAGAGGGGGAUGGAAUUCCGCGUGUAGCAGUGAAGUGCGU